CACGUAGGGACCAAGCGUUGUCCGGAUUCAUUGGGCGUAAAGAGCUCGUAGGCGGUUCGAUAAGUCGGGUGUGAAACCUCCAGGCUCAACCUGGAGACGCCACCCGAUACUGUCGUGACUAGAGUCCAGUAGGGGAGCGUGGAAUUCCUGGUGUAGCGGUGAAAUGCGCAGAUAUCAGGAGGAACACCGAUGGCGAAGGCAGGUCACUGGGCCGCAACUGACGCUGAGGAGCGAAAGCAUGGGGAGCGAACAGG
rnacentral:rRNA from 1 species